AGAGCGCCGACGUAGAGCAAUGGCCGCGUCUGGGGAACCCGGGAGGCAGUGGCAGGAGCAGGUGGCGGCGGCAGUGGUGGUGGUGGGCUCCUGCAUGACCGACCUGGUCAGAGGCAGCUCACAUUCUGGCCAUGGCCUCCUCCUUCAUGGUCAAAGCUAUCAAUGCCUUACUUCUCGUUUGCCAAAAACUGGAGAAACCAUCCAUGGACAGAAGUUUUUUAUCGGCUUUGGAGGGAAAGGUGCCAACCAGUGUGUCCAGGCUGCCAGGCUUGGAGCCAAGACGUCCAUGGUGUGCAAGGUUGGCAAAGAUUCCUUUGGCAAUGAUUAUAUAGAAAACUUAAAGCAGAAUGAUAUUUCUACAGAAUUUACAUAUCAGACGGAAGAUGCUGCGACAGGAACUGCUUCGAUAAUUGUCAAUAAUGAAGGCCAGAAUAUCAUCGUUAUAGUGGCUGGAGCAAAUUUACUUUUGAAUACUGAAGACCUGAGGGAAGCAGCCAGUACCAUCAGCAGAGCCAAAGUAAUGAUCUGCCAGCUAGAAGUAACUCCAGCAACUUCUUUGGAAGCCCUGACAAUAGCCCACAGCAAUGGAGUGAAAACACUGUUCAACCCAGCACCAGCCAUUGCCGACCUGGACCCCCGGUUCUACACCCUCUCGGAUGUGUUCUGCUGCAAUGAAAGCGAGGCUGAGAUUCUGACCGGCCUUGAGGUCCGCAGCCCCAAGGAUGCCGGGCAGGCUGCGCAGGUGCUCCUGGAGAGGGGCUGCUGCGUUGUGAUCAUCACCCUAGGGGCUGAAGGGUGUGUGAUGCUGUCGCGGACAGAACCCGUCCCGAAACACAUUCCCACAGAGAAAGUCAAGGCUGUGGAUACUACGGGCCAACCAGAUGGUCGUGCCGCAAUCUCCUGCACAGGAACAAGGUAGAAGCCCUUUCUUGGAACUUGGAAGCAAGAGCAAAGCAGGACGUGCACCAGGCUCGCUUGAGGCACUUGCAGGGCCAAGCUGCUCCUGAUCCCGAGGCACGUUCUUGCAGCUUGCAGCCAGCCCUCCUGUAUCCUCCCAUAGGGAUUCCUGCAGCCGAGGCUCAUGCGAUUCAGUCAUAAGCCUCGACCUCCUUUCCUGAUCAUUCUGUUUAUGCAAGACUCUGGCAUCUGCAUCACCAUUUUUCUCUCCACACCCGCCCCCUCCAUGCUAACCACCAUCUACGAUGACUUCAGCACCGGGAGCAGGAACCAUCACGAAGGCUCACGGGUCCUAGAUGCCCUCACCUCCAGGGACUCCUCACCUCCCUCCAGCCUCCCACUCCCAUGACGACUCCCAGGAAAUCGUUAACACCUGGCACUGCGUCAGUUCUGUGGGAAUAAAUCUCACAUCCUGCUCCGACCAAACUAGCCCUCUCACCUCUUCUUCCUCACUUGCUCUCAUUUCCUGCUGACCCGCUGGCCCCUUCCUCACCUCUCUUCCCUCCUUAUCCAGGUGGGUUAUUCAUCGGGUUAUUCUUUCCUGAAACCUUUGCUCCCUCCAUCCCGCCCUCUUCCCCGACACCUGCCCAGGAGUGACACCUGCCCAGGGCAACUCCGGUUCACAUUCUCUUCUCAGCUCCUGCCCUAGGCAGGCAGAGAGAAACGGGAGCCCCACCCUCACCCCCUGUACAAAGGGACAAAAGGACAUCAUUAAAGGUUCCUGGUCUCCACUCAUCCCUGUCAUUUUUCAUCACUAUAGAAAACAUAAGCCCUUCCCGUGGGGAAGUAGGAAAAUCUGAGCCGUAGCCAGAAGCCCAAUCUCUCUCUCUCCCAAAAUAGCUUCUCCACCUGCUCUGUUGCUAGAUUUCCACACAGAUGUCCUUGGUACAAUUUUGACUGCCAUUUACCACCUUUUCUCACCUUGAGCAAGUUCCUUCACCUCUUUCAAUCCUAGUUGUCUCGGUUUUAAAAUGAGGAUCCCCCAGGCUUGCUGCCAGCCUCGAGGGCACUUUGUGCAAAUAAGAAGGUGCCUCUGAGCAGGCCCGCAGCUUGGGGAGCGGAGCAGGGCCCGCAGACCCAGAGUCACCCCAUCACCUGGAGCAGAGCCACCUUGCAUAACCAGACACUGAGGCCCCAGCUAUGCCCACCUCCAUGGGGCUCCUGUGAAACGCAGGCGACAACCUGCAAGGUGCCCAACCAAGAGCCUGAGUAGAACCGCAGACUAAAGAGCGCAUGCGCAGACCACUUGGCCUUGGCUCAGCGUGUAGUGUGCUCUGCUGGGGCGGUGCCUGUCCACAUUUUCAAGUAUUUUCUGCCAGUUCCGCAAGGUUUAUCGCUGUACUGCUAUCGCUCAACAGGAGCAGAGCCCUGAGAGACUACGUUCAGUGAAAGGCAGACCCCGGGCAUAGCCACGGGCUCCCAGGCAGCCAAAGGGCAGUGGGAGGGAACAGGGCGUGGGGGCAGCUGGACAGAGAGGCUGGUCUGCAAGGGAGAAGGGACACGAGCAACCAACGUCCCCAGGGCAGUGCUGCCUCACUCAGGUCCUGGUGGCAGAGGCUGCCCCUCAACCCCACACCCACGCUCUGGGAGCACCCACCUCUCAGGUUCACCCCUUGGGGUCCUCUCACCAGCUGCUCCUAAGUGUCAUCCCUGCCCCGCCAGCCCUGCGGAGUGCCCGACCCCCUGCCCCCCACCAGGGGGCGUGUUUCGCUGUCCUGCCAAUUCACCAUUACUCCUGCUGCCGCCUGGGUCCCACAGACCAGAACCCAGGAGUGUGCAGGCCCGCAGGAGAGCAGGACUUUUGGAAGGCCGCAGCCAUUCUCUAAGAGUGGCUCUUCCUUAAGAGGAAACUAUUGUGAGAAGGCAAUGAAUAGUAGCCACGUGGGUAUUUUUCUUGAAGAAAGAUGAAUUAUGCCAUCACCCCUUUUGGCACAAAAAUAAUUUUCAGUAAAAGGUUAAAACCAUCAUGUUGUAUCAAUGAGAGCUAUUCCAUUAUUCCAAGAAUGAUUGAUUGGAAAGUACUUUACUUACAGGAAAAUCACAGCGAUACAAUACAGCUUCCACUUUUAAAGCACUUUCCAUUUAAAAAAAAAAAGGUUAUACCAAUGUAUAAAAAUAGUUACACUGAAGAUGUGAAUCAACAGCCGAGUAAUUUAUUGGCGCUUGAAAGCCCUGUGGUAUAAAUAGAUUCAACAAUGAGGCUAUCAAGUAACUCUGGGCUGUGGCAACCUAACCUCCAGUUUCACUGACAAAAAGAACUGACACGUGUAGUUCAGCCGGAAUCAUCAGGCCCCCCUGGAAGAGACCAUUGGACGUCGAAGCCACGA